rnacentral:rRNA from 1 species
ACGGCUCAGUAACACGUGGACAACCUACCCAAAGGUCUGGGAUAACUCCGGGAAACUGGGGAUAAUACCGGAUAGGUCAAGAGUACUGGAAGGGUUUUUUGAUUGAAAGCUCUGGCGCCUUUGGAUGGGUCUGCGGCUGAUUAGGUUGACGCCGGUGUAAAGUACCGGCGUGCCGAUCAUCAGUACGGGUUGUGGGAGCAAGAGCCCGGAGAUGGAUUCUGAGACACGAAUCCAGGCCCUACGGGGCGCAGCAGGCGCGAAAACUCUACAAUGCAGGCAACUGCGAUAGGGGAACAUCGAGUGGCAUCUACAUUAGGUGUCUGUCCAGCAGUCUAAAAAACGGCUGUUAGCAAGGGCCGGGCAAGACCGGUGCCAGCCGCCGCGGUAAUACCGGCGGCUCGAGUGGUGGCCGAUAUUAUUGAGUCUAAAGGGUCCGUAGCCGGCUUUGCAAGUCUUGUGGGAAAUCCAGCGGCUUAACCGUUGGGCGUCUGCGGGAUACUACAUUGCUUGGGACUGGGAGAGGUAGGAGGUACUCAGGGGGUAGGAGUGAAAUCCUGUAAUCCUCUGGGGACCACCGGUGGCGAAGGCGUCCUACCAGAACAGGUCCGACGGUGAGGGACGAAAGCUAGGGGCACGAACCGGAUUAGAUACCCGGGUAGUCCUAGCCGUAAACGAUGCCCGCUAGGUGUCACGGCAGUCGUGAACUGCCGUGGUGCCGUAGGGAAGCCGUGAAGCGGGCCACUUGGGAAGUACGACCGCAAGGUUGAAACUUAAAGGAAUUGGCGGGGGAGCAC